rnacentral:rRNA from 1 species
CAGUAGCCGCGGUAAUACGAAGGGGGCUAGCGUUGUUCGGAUUUACUGGGCGUAAAGGGCGCGUAGGCGGACUGAUAAGUCAGGGGUGAAAUCCCAAGGCUCAACCUUGGAACUGCCUUUGAUACUGUUUGUCUUGAGUUCGAGAGAGGUAAGUGGAACUGCGAGUGUAGAGGUGAAAUUCGUAGAUAUUCGCAAGAACACCAGUGGCGAAGGCGGCUUACUGGCUCGAAACUGACGCUGAGGUGCGAAAGCGUGGGGAGCAAACAGGAUUAGAUACCCGGUAGUCCCUGUCUCUUAUACA